rnacentral:misc_RNA from 1 species
AUUUGCCUCUAAUAUAGAUCCAAGCAAGGCCAUGCACGGAGAUCUUUUAGCGCACGGGUUCUCAUAAGCAAUCAUGCAUAUCUGAUUUGCAACAUCCUGGUAAAUGUCUGUUGCAUCCUAUAGCAAAUUGAAGAAAUACGGAUAAGAAAUAGAUAGAAAGAAUUAUAGAGAAAGAAGUAAUUCUAGUAUUAUUGAAUUCUUGGUUGACCCAGUUAGUUACAAUGCUAAACUAUUUAUACAAUAUUUUUCUCCCAUACAAUCACAGCUCCUAUUCCCCUUAUUAUCGUAACAUUCCCCGCUUCUUCUUGUUCUCAAGAAUGAAAAAGAUUCCAUGAAUAAAAGAAAAAGCUUCUAAGCGCCUUGAAUGCCACGGUGGAGAUGCACUUGAAUGCUAGGAUUGAAU